GGAGGUAUAGCUCAAUGGCCAGUACCUGCCUGGCAAGCAUGAAGUCCUGAGUUCAAUUCCCAGUACUUCCC
rnacentral:tRNA from 1 species